UACGAGGGGUGCAAGCGUUGUUCGGAAUUACUGGGCGUAAAGCGCGUGUAGGUUGUUAAAUGUGUCGAAUGUGAAAGCCCUGGGCUUAACCCAGGAAGUGCGUUCGAAACUGUUUAACUCGAGUGCGGGAGAGGAGGGCGGAAUUCCCAGUGUAGAGGUGAAAUUCGUAGAUAUUGGGAGGAACACCGGAGGCGAAAGCGGCUCUCUAGACCGUAACUGACACUGAGACGCGAAAGCGUGGGGAUCAAACAGG
rnacentral:rRNA from 1 species